rnacentral:tRNA from 2 species
GUCAGGAUAGCCGAGCGGUCUAAGGUGCUGCGUUCAGGUUGCAGUCUCCUCUGGAGGCGUGGGUUCGAAUCCCACUUCUGACA